GUUCCCGGAGUAACCAGUGCGCGGGGCUGCGCCCGGGGCAGCUGCUGGGAUCCCGGGAGCCGCCGCCCCGCCCGGAGCCGCGUCCCAGGGGCUGCAGCCGCAGCUCAGAGGCCGGGCUCCUCCCGCGCUCUCCGACCGCCCCGGCCAUGCUAAUUUCCAUCCCCAGAAUGCAUUGCGCACCCGCAGCCGCCUCCCGUGGCCACGGGCUGGGUUUGCUCCCGGAGAGCCCGGUUCCGAGGCGCGAACGCGCGGGGUGAUCGGGCCGGUGCGCUGGGCUGUGAACACGCGGGGUUCAGGCCCCGAAAAAAGCUUCUGCCAAAAUGUUAUUGCAGUUCCACCUUUUGCCCACCAGAGGCCACUGUGGCAAUCAAAGAAAGCAGCAGCUCCUGGCCAGCUAAGGAGGAGAGAGCCUAAAUUCUUCACAUGGCCUGUUAGGCCAGGUGCAGUGGCAAGUUUUCAGUGGACCCCUGGUUAGACUGAAGUUUGGAUGUUCCUGUAUUUUUGUGCAGCACCCAUUGUCAUGGCCUCUGAGUCCCAUAACAACAACUAACAAAAAUGGUGUGGGUGCUGGCAGAACAGCAAAGGCAGUGAAUGCCCCUGGUGAGUGGUGAAUUCCCUGCAAUCAGUCCUGGAAAAUCCAACAAUAACUGGGGGUAAGAGCAGCAGCCCUCCUCCACUGGAAUUACUCAGAGGGAUAGAAGGAUCUUGCCAUUAAAAGGGUCUAAA